AGUGAACGCUGGCGGUAGGCCUAACACAUGCAAGUCGAACGGCAGCACAGUAAGAGCUUGCUCUUACGGGUGGCGAGUGGCGGACGGGAGAGGAAUACAUCGGAAUCUACUUUUUGGUGGGGGAUAACGUAGGGAAACUUACGCCAAUACCGCAUACGCCCUACGGGCGAAAGCAGGGGAUCUUCGGACCUUGCGCGAUUGAAUGCGCCGAUGUCGGAUUAGCUAGUUGGCGGGGUAAAGGCCAACCAAGGCGACGAUCCGUAGCUGGUCUGAGAGGAUGAUCAGCCACACUGGAACUGAGACACGGUCCAGACUCCUACGGGAGGCAGCAGUGGGGAAUAUUGGACAAUGGGCGCAAGCCUGGUCCAGCCAUACCGCGUGGGUGAAGAAGGCCUUCGGGUUGUAAAGCCCUUUUGUUGGGAAAGAAAAGCAGCAGGUUAAUACCCCGCUGUUCUGACGGUACCCAAAGAAUAAGCACCGGCUAACUUCGUG
rnacentral:rRNA from 1 species